rnacentral:rRNA from 1 species
CUACGGGCCGCUCCAGUGGGGAAUAUUGCACAAUGGGCGCAAGCCUGAUGCAGCCAUGCCGCGUGUAUGAAGAAGGCCUUCGGGUUGUAAAGUACUUUCAGCGGGGAGGAAGGGAGUAAAGUUAAUACCUUUGCUCAUUGACGUUACCCGCAGAAGAAGCACCGGCCAACUCCAUGCCAGCAGCCGCGGUAAUACGGAGGGUGCAAGCGUUAAUCGGAAUUACUGGGCGUAAAGCGCACGCAGGCGGUUUGUUAAGUCAGAUGUGAAAUCCCCGGGCUCAACCUGGGAACUGCAUCUGAUACUGGCAAGCUUGAGUCUCGUAGAGGGGGGUAGAAUUCCAGGUGUAGCGGUGAAAUGCGUAGAGAUCUGGAGGAAUACCGGUGGCGAAGGCGGCCCCCUGGACGAAGACUGACGCUCAGGUGCGAAAGCGUGGGGAGCAAACAGGAUUAGAUACCCGAGUAGUC